GUGAGGAAUAUUGGUCAAUGGGCGAGAGCCUGAACCAGCCAAGUCGCGUGAAGGAAGAAGGAUCUAUGGUUCGUAAACUUCUUUUGCAGGGGAAUAAAGUGCGGGACGUGUCCUGUUUUGUAUGUACCCCGAGAAUAAGGAUCGGCUAACUCCGUGCCAGCAGCCGCGGUAAUACGGAGGAUCCGAGCGUUAUCCGGAUUUAUUGGGUUUAAAGGGUGCGUAGGUGGUUUGAUAAGUCAGCGGUGAAAGUUUGCAGCUUAACUGUAAAAAUGCCGUUGAAACUGUCGGACUUGAGUGUAAAUGAGGUAGGCGGAAUGCGUGGUGUAGCGGUGAAAUGCAUAGAUAUCACGCAGAACUCCGAUUGCGAAGGCAGCUUACUAAGCUACAACUGACACUGAAGCACGAAAGCGUGGGGAUCAAACAGGAUUAGAUACCCGUGUAGUCC
rnacentral:rRNA from 1 species